CUGAUUACAAGAAUCAGGUUGACAGUAAGGGAAAGCUCUUCAGACAGGAAAAGAACUGUAGGGUCAGGGUGAUAGUAACAAAUGGGAGCAAACAGAGAGAAGUACCUUUAUUCAUAGUGGGACAAUGGAGUGUAUACAUAUACCAAGAUGCAUGAAACAGUUUGAAUCGUUUUUGAAUUCAUCCUUCUUCAUAUCUAAAAGGGAAAGUGGACCAUGGGGGGGAAAAUGGGAUUGUAUGGGAACAGAACAUGGAGGAAAUGGGAAGAUCGGCAUGCACGCACAGUACAGUAAUGAAUGAGGGAAUCUUUGUCUGACUGCCGAAGUGAUAGCAGGCUUCCUUGUAAAUAAAAGUAUACAGAUUCUUUUCCUCUUUGCCACCUAUCUAAUUUACUCUAGUUAUUAAAGAUUGGCCAACGCUCCCACUUCUCACAUUAACUCUCCUCAACCAACUCGUCUUCUUUGCUUCAUUGAAAAGUUUGGAUUCUUUGUCUGCUUUCCUUUCCUAAUCUUUUUAAGAGAUUAAAUGGAAUAAAAAGACACAAUAACAAUAGAGAUGAUGCAUAUAUAUAUCUGAUCCUGAGUGGUGAUCAGCUAAGCAAUCAAGGGUUUGUAUUUUCUUUUCCCUGCAGGGGGCGUCCCUACGCGGUUGAUGGGUAAUGGUAGUGCUAUUGGUGGCUAACCAGAUGUUAGUGGCGUUGGCUGUAUUCACUGUGGGUGUUUAGGCUGGAUUUCUUUCUGAAAGUGCACAGGGAAUUUGAUAAUGAGAGAAUUUUGUAAUGGUAUACCCCUGUUUCUUUGUUGGAGCAUAACCUUACAAAAUUGUUGUAAGUGGUGAACUCAGGUUCUCCCUUUCUUCAAUUCAAAUGAAAUUUCAAAAAAAAAAAGUUCUCUGCCUCAGGGGAAACGUCUUGCUAGUUGCAACGCUACCAGAUUGAAAUAUAAGGAGAUGGAGGGUGGAUCUACAGAUUGUUCGGAGAGUAUGCAAGUUACCAAGCAUGUGCUGAAGAGAGAAUAGGUACGCUAUAUAUUGUUUCCUACCAUUAUGUCCCUGCAGACUGAGUGGAGAGCAACAAAAAAUGUUAUAAAUACAACAAAUUUUUGCGACUUUUGUCGUCCAUUUAUUGCAGAAUUGUCACUUUAUAUACUCAUAAUCAAUCAAAUGCAGCUCAGGUUUGAAUUUU